UUAUGGCUAUUAGCAAGUAGGAUGGGCGAGAAGAAGGAAAAAAGAUAAGAACUGUCAUCUGUUUGGAACUUAGAAGAGCUUCUUGAUUCGUUAAAUCCAUAUCCCAAACAGAAAAGCUAUAUAAUUUCCUGAUGAAAGGAACACAUUAAGGUUGAUCAAUAGACAAGGAAACAUCUCAGAAGCACAAAUUUGUAUCAUUACAAACUGAAAGAUGAAUCUGACGCUGAGUAUCACUGACAUGUAAAAGAAGUGCAACUUACCUGCAGAGUAAGAGACUUGAUGACUUCCUUGGCAGCUCUAGAUUUUUCAGCCUCAUUCAUUGUUAUCACCUUGGCCUCCUUAAGUUGCUUUCUUGCUUUCUCUAAUUCAGCUUCAAGAAGCUUAUUAUCAACAGAGCCACAACUUCAGGAGAUGUAGGAACACUGACCGAAGUGAUUACUGUUGAAGAUCCAAUUGGACUGCACCCUUGUGAAACAGGUGAUGCUGCCCGAGAAACUACUCUGGAACCAGGAGCAGAGGCUGAAAUACGUU